rnacentral:lncRNA from 1 species
AUUUAGGUUAAGUUAAAUUCCAAGCCAAUUUUUAAUACAAUAAGUCGGUCUUAAAAUGUCGGGCUUAAUUAAUCAAGUAAAACUAGAUAUCUUAUCAAUAGAUGGCUACACUGCUUAGUGCAUCGUCUGCAGUAGAAAUUCAUGGUUCAUCAGAUGUUAGUUGUUAGCAUGGUUGUUAGGAUUCGAGACGUGUUCAGCGGGGGGAUAAUAAAUUCAGUGAGUUCCGUUUUAAACCUUCUUUUGGCUACUGGUUAAAACACAAAAAUUUGCCAUUUUUUCGUACCAACCUGAGGGACAAUUUUUUCGCACAACACACGAUUGUUUGAAGGUUGAUUUUGAACGGUUUGUAUUUGGCUUCCACAUGCAAAUCUAUUACAAAUAUUUACAAUAGCUAAACGGUUAUUGAACAUAAUACUAAAUGGUAUUAAAAGACUCUUCCCUUAAGGAAAGUUGUAGCUGUGGACUUACUUUAGAGGACUCUUGUAUCGUAAAUAUUUUCUUGCUUCUUGGAACAAAGAACAUAGGAAGUCUUGAUGCCAACUAAGAGUAAUUGGAAAGGUUGUAAAAAGAUGUUUAAGCGGGAUAAACCUAAAUUUGGAGCACAAUAAAUUUGUUUCUUGUUACGAGUUCUCUGAAACAAAUGUGGAGAUUUAUUCCACAAUCUUCAGCUUUCCAGGCAGACACCCAUCUGCAGAGCCAUGUGUGAUAGAUGAUAUUCACAGCGGGCAUGACUGUGUUGUGAAUUGGUAUCACUUUUACAAAGCCAAACAGCAGGUUUAGAUCACGUGUCUAACUGUGAAAGAGAUCAUGUGUAUGUCAACGAAAAUAGCUCUCUCUGUUUGCGACAUCAGUCCUCCCCAGUGUGUCAUUCUGAUGCAGAGCUCUUGAAAUGAAGUUGAAAGUUUUGAAGCAUCUCAGGCCAAAGCUGAAGUUCUAGCUCUGUCGAGGUAUUAGAAAAGUGGUCGCUUUUCGGUUAGAGUUUCUUCGCCUUCCGGUGCAUCAAUCGGAAUGAUGUUCACUUCCUCGACGUCAUUGCUCACGUAAUUUAAUAACUUUGUGCUUCGAAAAAAUUUGUACUUAUCUUCAAUUUUUAAAAGAAAACUUUGAUGCAUUAUUCUUAUCUCGAGGUUAUAUCGACCUCCAAAGGCAAAUCGGAAGAGGGUAUUCUUUUCCGUGACAUAAAGAAUGGAAAUUUUAUGGAUUAGCAAGUCAUCCACAUCCAAACAGAUCAAACUCACGAGGUAUUCCGCCUCGUCCGGCAACUUACCAUCCAGCAACGCAUCCAUCAACAGAAUGUAUUAAAGAGGAAUGUAAUGACCAAAUGCCGACUUGAUGAUUUCCAUGCAAGAUGAAUGUUAAAAUCCAAGGAGAUCUGGUGAGGAGGAUGCAACGGACUAUGUCAUAUUAAACCAUACGCUGAAUACAAAGAAUACUAUCAGUUCUCCAGAACAAGAGGUUAAUAAUCAUACUGAAUCAAAAGAGGUACAUACUUGAACGAGAUUUUAAAACGAUAACAGCUGGAAGGGCAUGUGGAAAUUUUAAAGGACGCUGCCUGCACGUUACCUUUGGUCGCUGAUUCAUCUCGAAGAUAAAAUAUCAAAGUUUUUAUAAAUUUCAGUGCAUAUCUGGGCUCCCUUCUUUUCUGUGGCCCCGUUUCCCCUUGACUUGUGAUAAGCCCGUAGGGGGUCAUGCCCCUACUGUGAUCAGCAGUAAAGGUUGUGAGUGCGCUGUCCG